GCAGCCGCCACGGGAAUACGGAGGGUGCAAGCGUUAAUCGGAAUUACUGGGCGUAAAGCGCACGCAGGCGGUCUGACAAGUCAGAUGUGAAAUCCCCGGGCUUAACCUGGGAACUGCAUUUGAAACUGUCAGGCUGGAGUCUUGUAGAGGGGGGUGGAAUUCCAGGUGUAGCGGUGAAAUGCGUAGAGAUCUGGAGGAAUACCGGUGGCGAAGGCGGCCCCCUGGACAAAGACUGACGCUCAGGUGCGAAAGCGUGGGGAGCAAACAGGAUUAGAUACCCCUGUAGUCCCUGUCUCUUAUAC
rnacentral:rRNA from 1 species